UUCACCAUCUGUCUUACUCACAGAGAAAUGUGGGUUCAAAUUCUGGUUCUGCCACUUAGCAGCUGUGGGAUCACACAAGUAACCUCCAUGGGUCUCAGUUUUCUCCUCUGUUAGGAGGAAUAAUGACAUCUCUCUCAGGGGAGGUGAUGUUGAGAUGGAAGGAGACCAUACACACUCAUUGCUUGACCCUGUGCCUGCCACAUGGUAUUAGGUUGGUGCAAAAGUUGACGAGUUUUUGCCAUUAAAAGUAAUGGCAAGAACCGCAAUUACUUUUGCACCAACUUAAUAACUGCUUUCAACGAGAUUAAACGGUGGUGAUUAAUCAGUACCCUCAGGCUUCCCCUGUUUUCACCACCACCAGGGAUGUCAGGACUGGGCAGCAAGAAAGGCUUUUGGAUUGGCUGAGGUCCUUUGGGCCACUUGCUUAACUUCAACUUCUCUGAGCCUCAGUUUCCUCAUCUACAAAGUACAGAUGAUAAUUCCUGCUGGGCGGGGUUGCCGUUAGCACCAGAAAAACUUUAGAUCCAUUAGCUUGAAGAUGUCCAGGGUUUUCUAAGGACCUUCUUGUGUUUUUUGUGUUUUUUUUGUUUUUUUUUUUGUUUUGUUUUUUGAGACAAGGUCUCACUCUGUUGCCCAGACUGGAGUGCAGUGGCUCGAUCUCAGCUCACUGCAACCUCCAUCUUCCAGGCUCAAGUAAUUCUCCUGCUUCAGCCUCCCAAGUACCUGGGAUUAUAGGCAUGUGCCACUACUGCCCGGCUAAUUUUUGUAUGUUUUAGUGGAGACGGGGUUUCACUGUGUUGGCCAGGCUGGUCUUGAACUCCUGACCUCAAAUGAUCCACCUGCCUCAGCCUCCCAAAGUGCUGGGAUUACAGGCAUGAGCCACCGCGCCCAGCCCCUUCUUGAAGUUCCAAACCCCACUAUGGGGUCAAUGGAUGUAGCUUGGACAUCUUGGAAUAGAGGCUCUGGGGUCCUCCCCAGGAUACAGUGACAGCCCUUGUGGCACCUGCCCCUGGAGGCCAACACGGUAGCCUUGCUGGCACAGCCUAGCAAUUGCUCCAGUUAGUAAAUCAGGGAUUGCACUUCAGUGAGUAACCUGCCACCCAGGAGCAGUUAUCUGCUGCUGCCACCACACAAAGGAAGCUCUGUUCAGGCACAAAGCGACUGCUUGGGAUGCUGGCAAGACCAGAGCUUCCCCUGGCCCUCAGGCCAGGACUUGGGACUGGG
rnacentral:lncRNA from 10 species